rnacentral:lncRNA from 1 species
AUGUCCAUCAGGAACUGGGGGGUCCUCGCCUGCGCGAGGGAACGGGGCUGUGUGGGGUGCACGCUGGGUGCUGGAGCCCCCUCCCCAGGUGCCGCGUGCCAUGCUCAGGGUUAGCUGCGCCCACGCAUCCCACGGCGUUCCCCUGCCCUGCCGUGGGUCUCUGCCCCUCCCCGAGCCAAAGCACCGCGCUCCUUGGGGCUCCCCAGGCACUGGGGGGAUGCAAGAAAUUAUCUUUGCAGAGGCAAGCAGUGGGAGGGUGAGCAGCACCUGCAUGGCUCGGGGAAGAACCCACAGCGAGCCCUGGCAUGGGGACAGUGGCAGCAAAGCGAAGCAAAAGCAAAAGCAGCAGGAUGGUGUGGAACCGGCCCCAGGGGCAGCGGGGUGGGGGUGCCGCACUGCAGGGCCCCCACUCACCCAGGGGGCUGCCAGCAGGGCCCCGAGGCACAGCCAUGCCCAGCGCAGCCGCGGGAUCAUCCUCAGGCCCAUGGCACCUCCGGCUCUGUGGGGACAGGGGUUGGUGAAGCCUCGGGAAGAGCCUCCGAGCGCUGCAGGAGGGAGAGCCUGGGACGAGCCCGUGUGGGGCCGUUCACCAUCAGGGACAAGGGUGGCCAUCGGGUGCAAAAACAUCCCAUAAAGGUCACCCCGCAUCCCCCUGGCUCAGGAGGGACAGCAGCUUUCCCAGGCAGGGAGCAGCCCCCGAGGCGAUGAGGGGCACCCUGGGGUGCCAGCCCUGCCUGCGGUACGGGGACGGGGCUCUCUGACAGCCCCAGGGCUGCAGCCCCCCAGGGGGACCCCCCAAGUCCCCUGGGGUCCCGCAGAGCUGCCCUCGCUCCGCACCAGCCGGGCAGGCAGCAGCCCCCAGGCUCCCGUCCCGGUGCCCCAGGAGGUGUCCCCAUACCAGUGGUGUCCCUGUCCCGGUGGUGUCCCAUUCCCGGCGGUGAUGUCCCUGCGGGUGGGUGCCCCUGCCCACGGGUGUCCCUGCGGGUGGGUUGUCCCAGCCCAGCAGGCCCCGGGGGCCCUGUGCAGGGCCAGGGCUGAAAACGGAGCUGCAAAACAGAAAACAGGAAAGGGGCAGACCCGGAGCUGCUGCUUGCUCGCCUGCUUUCAUUUUCUGCACGACGUGGUGCCUGCAGCCUGCCCUGCCCAGCCGCCACCGCCCUGCUUCUCAGUGCAGGAACCAAACCCCACGGAAGGGAAAUUCCAGCAGCUGCAGGACGAGCCCGGGCCCGGCCACCCCACAGCCCAGGGGGGCUUAGGGGGGAGACCAGGAGGCAGGGGGGACAUGGGGUGGGUUCCUGCUGGACCCAGCAUUUGGCAUCGAGGGGCUCCCAUCUACAUCAAAACUCUGUUUGGGGCUGGAAGGAGGGAGAAGAACUGCGUGGUGUCACAAAGGGGGGUGCGUGUGCACCGCGCCGUGCCCCAACGGGGGUCCUGCAGGGGUGGGAGCGGGCAGUGGGCAUCGCACCGUGGCACCAUCCCGGUGGGCUCCGGCUUGUGGGGGGGCCGGGGAGCUCGGCCUGUGCCCACCGCCCGGGGACCUGCGGCAUCGCCGGAGCCAUGGGGGACUCUGGCUUCCCCCCGCCAUCCGAGCUGCUCCCGCUGCUGCCGCUGCUGCUGCGGCUGAGCCUGGUGUCCACCGUGCUGUGGCUGCGGCGGCUGCGGGUAGGUGACAAAAUUUGGGGCAGGGGGUGCUGGGGGCUGCCCCCCCCCCCUCACCCAUCUACCUGGGGCUGAU